rnacentral:rRNA from 1 species
GUAAUGGCCUACCAAGGCGAUGACGGGUAGCUGGCGUGAGAGCGCGACCAGCCACACUGGGACUGAGACACGGCCCAGACUCCUACGGGAGGCAGCAGUGGGGAAUAUUGCACAAUGGGCGAAAGCCUGAUGCAGCGACGCCGCGUGAGGGAUGACGGCCUUCGGGUUGUAAACCUCUUUCGCCGGGGACGAAGCCGUGAGGUGACGGUACCUGGAUAAGAAGCACCGGCCAACUACGUGCCAGCAGCCGCGGUAAUACGUAGGGUGCAAGCGUUGUCCGGAAUUAUUGGGCGUAAAGAGCUCGUAGGCGGUUUGUUGCGUCGGCUGUGAAAUCCCGAGGCUCAACCUCGGGUCUGCAGUCGAUACGGGCAGGCUAGAGUUCGGUAGGGGAGAUCGGAAUUCCUGGUGUAGCGGUGAAAUGCGCAGAUAUCAGGAGGAACACCGGUGGCGAAGGCGGAUCUCUGGGCCGAUACUGACGCUGAGGAGCGAAAGCGUGGGGAGCGAACAGGAUUAGAUACCCUGGUAGUCCACGCCGUAAACGGUGGGCACU